UACAGGCUUAACACAUGCAAGUCGAGGGGCAUCAGGAAGAAAGCUUGCUUUCUUUGCUGGCGACCGGCGCACGGGUGAGUAACACGUAUCCAACCUGCCCUUUACUCGGGGAUAGCCUUUCGAAAGAAAGAUUAAUACCCGAUAGCAUAAUGAUUCCGCAUGGUUUCAUUAUUAAAGGAUUCCGGUAAAGGAUGGGGAUGCGUUCCAUUAGGUUGUUGGUGAGGUAACGGCCCACCAAGCCUUCGAUGGAUAGGGGUUCUGAGAGGAAGGUCCCCCACAUUGGAACUGAGACACGGUCCAAACUCCUACGGGAGGCAGCAGUGAGGAAUAUUGGUCAAUGGGCGCUAGCCUGAACCAGCCAAGUAGCGUGAAGGAUGAAGGCUCUGUGGGUCGUAAACUUCUUUUAUAUAAGAAUAAAGUGCGGUAUGUAUACUGUUUUGUAUGUAUUAUAUGAAUAAGGAUCGGCUAACUCCGUGCCAGCAGCCGCGGUAAUACGGAGGAUCCGAGCGUUAUCCGGAUUUAUUGGGUUUAAAGGGAGCGUAGGUGGACUGGUAAGUCAGUUGUGAAAGUUUGCGGCUCAACCGUAAAAUUGCAGUUGAUACUGUCAGUCUUGAGUACAGUAGAGGUGGGCGGAAUUCGUGGUGUAGCGGUGAAAUGCUUAGAUAUCACGAAGAACUCCGAUUGCGAAGGCAGCUCACUGGACUGCAACUGACACUGAUGCUCGAAAGUGUGGGUAUCAAACAGGAUUAGAUACCCUGGUAGUCCACACAGUAAACGAUGAAUACUCGCUGUUUGCGAUAUACAGUAAGCGGCCAAGCGAAAGCAUUAAGUAUUCCACCUGGGGAGUACGCCGGCAACGGUGAAACUCAAAGGAAUUGACGGGGGCCCGCACAAGCGGAGGAACAUGUGGUUUAAUUCGAUGAUACGCGAGGAACCUUACCCGGGCUUAAAUUGCAGUGGAAUGAUGUGGAAACAUGUCAGUGAGCAAUCACCGCUGUGAAGGUGCUGCAUGGUUGUCGUCAGCUCGUGCCGUGAGGUGUCGGCUUAAGUGCCAUAACGAGCGCAACCCUUAUCUUUAGUUACUAACAGGUUAUGCUGAGGACUCUAGAGAGACUGCCGUCGUAAGAUGUGAGGAAGGUGGGGAUGACGUCAAAUCAGCACGGCCCUUACGUCCGGGGCUACACACGUGUUACAAUGGGGGGUACAGAAGGCAGCUAGCGGGUGACCGUAUGCUAAUCCCAAAAUCCUCUCUCAGUUCGGAUCGAAGUCUGCAACCCGACUUCGUGAAGCUGGAUUCGCUAGUAAUCGCGCAUCAGCCACGGCGCGGUGAAUACGUUCCCGGGCCUUGUACACACCGCCCGUCAAGCCAUGGGAGCCGGGGGUACCUGAAGUACGUAAAGGCAAGGAUCGUCCUAGGGUAAAACUGGUGACUGGGGCU
rnacentral:rRNA from 1 species